rnacentral:rRNA from 1 species
AUUGAACGCUGGCGGCAUGCCUUACACAUGCAAGUCGAACGGUAACGGGCCUUCGGGUGCCGACGAGUGGCGAACGGGUGAGUAAUACAUCGGAACGUGCCCGAUCGUGGGGGAUAACGAGGCGAAAGCUUUGCUAAUACCGCAUACGAUCUACGGAUGAAAGCAGGGGAUCGCAAGGCCUUGCGCGGACGGAGCGGCCGAUGGCAGAUUAGGUAGUUGGUGGGAUAAAAGCUUACCAAGCCGACGAUCUGAAGCUGGUCUGAGAGGAUGAUCAGCCACACUGGGACUGAGACACGGCCCAGACUCCUACGGGAGGCAGCAGUGGGGAAUUUUGGACAAUGGGCGCAAGCCUGAUCCAGCCAUGCCGCGUGCAGGAUGAAGGCCUUCGGGUUGUAAACUGCUUUUGUACGGAACGAAAAGCCUUCUUUUAAUACAGGAGGGUCAUGACGGUACCGUAAGAAUAAGCACCGGUUAACUACGUG